rnacentral:piRNA from 1 species
UUCUGAAAUGACAGAGAACUCAACAUAUGGA